rnacentral:rRNA from 1 species
AACAAACGCUGGCGGCGUGCCUAAUACAUGCAAGUCGAACGGGGAAAGCUUUCGGGUGGGUACUAGUGGCGCACGGGUGAGGAACGCGUGGAUAAUCUGCCUUAGAGUGGGGGAUAACUAGUCGAAAGAUUAGCUAAUACCGCAUAAGACCACAGGAGCUGCGGCUCAAGGGGUCAAAGGUUUUUCGCUCUAAGAUGAGUCCGCGUAAGAUUAGCUAGUUGGUGAGGUAACGGCUCACCAAGGCGACGAUCUUUAACUGGUCUGAGAGGAUGAUCAGUCACACUGGAACUGAGACACGGUACAGACUCCUACGGGAGGCAGCAGUAGGGAAUAUUGCACAAUGGAGGAAACUCUGAUGCAGCGACGCCGCGUGAGUGAUGAAGGCCUUCGGGUCGUAAAGCUCUGUCGCAGGGGAAUAACACAAUGAAUGUACCCUGUAAGAAAGGAUCGGCUAACUUCGUGCCAGCCGCCGCCGUAAAAC